GUGAGAUAAUGUACAUGGCAAGGCUUUCAGAACUUCGCAGCAUGUGCUGUGGGGGGCGGUCCUCGAUGCUGUGAAAGAUGCGUUUGCAUUCACUGGACAGGAAUUUACAGAACAAGAUCUUCUGGGUCAGGUACAGAAGGGUUGAGAAUGGGCACCAUGCUGAUGUAGCUGGAAACUGGAAGAUGGGUAGGAGCUAGCAUUGUCAAAGAAACAUUGAAUGAUGGGUCUUCAUUGAGUCAUGGAGUAAUCUAGAUGUGCAGAGAUGAUACUGUCUUGGACCUGGCCCUUCGCAGGAAGACUUCCCUUGUCAGCAGUUGGGAGUUGGAAUGCAUGGAAGGGGACGCCUGAA